UGAAACCAUCAUACAAAAACCUCUUUCACAGUGCACUGCACACACACACACACACACACACACUUUGCAUUGGCAGUCCAUGCUUCAGUGCUCUUGAGUGUUUAUAGCCCUGUGACUUUAACACUUCAUGACUGAGAGCUGCUGCUCAGCAACUUCACCCACAGCAACCAUGACUUUGAUCAGCGUCUUCAUCUGCACACUGGCUCUCUGGACUCAAGGAUCCAGAGCUCAGGUGACUGUGACUCAGACUCCUUCAGUGCAAACUGUUGUUCCAGGAAACACAGUCGCCAUCAACUGUAGGUUCAGUAGCAGUGUGUAUGAAGGUAACCGUCUUGCAUGGUACCGGCAGAAACCUGGAGAAACUCCUAAACCCCUGAUAUAUGGGAUUAGUAGCUUAUACUCAGGGACUCCAGCUCGUUACAGUGGCAGUGGAUCUAAGACUGACUUCACUCUGACCAUCAGUGGAGUCCAGACAGAAGAUGCAGGAGAUUACUACUGUCAGAGUUUACAUAAGAUCAGUAGUAACUGGGUGAUACACAGUGUUAUAACGUCGUACAAAAACCUCGGUCAGUGA